AACGAACGCUGGCGGCAGGCUUAACACAUGCAAGUCGAGCGCACCGCAAGGUGAGCGGCAGACGGGUGAGUAACGCGUGGGAAUCUACCCAACCCUACGGAAUAACCCAGGGAAACUUGGACUAAUACCGUAUACGCCCUUUUGGGGAAAGAUUUAUCGGGGAUGGAUGAGCCCGCGUUGGAUUAGCUAGUUGGUGGGGUAAAGGCCUACCAAGGCGACGAUCCAUAGCUGGUCUGAGAGGAUGAUCAGCCACAUUGGGACUGAGACACGGCCCAAACUCCUACGGGAGGCAGCAGUGGGGAAUAUUGGACAAUGGGCGCAAGCCUGAUCCAGCCAUGCCGCGUGAGUGAUGAAGGCCUUAGGGUUGUAAAGCUCUUUCAGUAGGGAAGGUAAUGACGGUACCUACAGAAGAAGCCCCGGCUAACUUCGUG
rnacentral:rRNA from 1 species